rnacentral:lncRNA from 10 species
GCAGGCGCCUGUAAUCCCAGCUACUCGGGAGGCUGAGGCAGGAGAAUGGUGUGAACCCGGGAAGCGAAGCUUGCAGUGAGCCGAGAUCGCGCCACUGCACUCCAGCCUGGGUGACUGAGUGAGACUCCGUCUCAAAAAACAACAACAACAACAAAAAAGUCUUGUGUACAGUGAAAUCUUGCUUAUGCCAUAACACCAUGAAUCCAGAGAAUGUAUGAUUUUAUAAAUUUAAACUAAAAUAUUUUCCUGAUUUAUCCAGAUAAGUAUUUCAUGACACUUUUUUUUUUUUUUUUUUUUUUUUGAGGCAGAGACUCACUCUGUUGCCCAGGCUGGAGUAUAAUGGCGCGGUCUCGACUCACUGCGACCUCUGCCUCCCAGGUUCAAGCCAUUCUUCUGCCCUUAGCCUCCCAGGUAGCUGAGAUUACAGGUGUGCGCCACCACGCCUGGCUAGUUUUUAUUAUUUAUUUAUUUGUUUUUGAGAUGGCGUCUCGCUCUGUUGCCCAGGCUGGAGUGCAGUGGUGUGACAUCGGCUCACUGCAAGCUCCACCUCCCGGGUUCAGGCCAUUUUCCUGCCUCAGCCUCCCGAGUAGCUGGGACUACAGGUGCCCGCCACCACUCCCGGCUAGUUUUUUAGUAUUUUUAGUAGAGACAGGGUUUCACUGUGUUAGCUAGGAUGGUCUCGAUCUCCUGACCUCGUGAUCUGCCUGCCUCAGCCUCCCAAAGUGUUGGGAUUACAGGCGUGAGCCACCGCGCCCGGCCACGCCCGGCUAGUUUUUGUAUUUUUAGUGGAGACAGGGUUUCACCAUGUUGGCCAGGCUGGUCUUGAACUCCUGACCUCAGGUGGUCCACCUGCCUUGGCCUCCCAAAGUGCUGGGAUUACAGGCAUGAGCCACUGGCGCCCGGCCUUUUUGUUUUUUGUUUUUGUUUGUUUGUUUGUUUUGAGACAGUGUCUUGCAUUGUCGCUCAGGCUGGAGUGCAGUGGUGCGAACAUGGCUCACUGCAGCCUCAACCUCUCUGGGCUCAGGUAAUCCUCCCACCUCAGUCUCCCAAGUAGCUGGGACUGCAGGUAUGCAUCACCAUGCCUGGCUAAUUUUUGUAUUUCUUGUAGAGAUGGGGUUUCACUAUAUUGCCCAGGCUAGUCUCAAACUUCUUCUUGUUAGAAACCGUGUUGUCCAGACUGGUCUAGAACUCCUGAGCUCAACCAAUCUGUCCGCCUCAGCCUCCCAAAGUGGUGGGAUUACAGGUAAGAGCCACCAUCCCCGGGCUCAUGACACUUUUCUUUGCCUACCAAGAUCCAGUUCAUUGGACCCUUAAAAAAAGUAUUUUAAUAUAUUUUAAUUAUUUUUAAACCUACUCUGAGAUUGAUGAAGGCUGAAGUAUUUGAAAAUAUUUCAUAAGUCUUUCCUGCAUAUACCAAAUUAUACCAAAGAACACAUUGAAAGUAAUUUGCCUAAUAAUUUAACUAUAAGUUUUCCGUAGAACCUAAAUAUAAUUGCUAAUGCACUGCACAGUCUUUUCUUUCCAGAUUGUGUUUACACCAUGACAAGCAGCGCUUCUUUCUCUUUACAAGGUAACAGUAGAAUUCCCCAACAAGAGUUUGACAGUGGGCCGGGCUCGGUGGCUCACGCCUGUAAUCCCAGCACUUUGGGAGGCCGAGGCAGGCGGAUCACGAGGUGUGGAGAUCGAGACCAUCCUGGCUAACAUGGUGAAACCCCAAACCCCGCCUCUGCUAAAAAAAAAUUGGCCAGGCGUGUUGGCGGGCGCCUGUAGUCCCAGCUACUCGGGAGGCUAAGGCAGGAGAAUCGCUUGAACCCGGGAGGUGGAGGUUGUAGUGAACCGAGAUCGCGCCACCGUACUCCAGCCUGGGUGACAGAUAAUCCGUCUCAAAAAAAAAAAAAAAAAAAAAGAGUUUGACAGUGAAUUUGGGAAAAGGAGAGCACAAAAUGAGCACAUAAGAUGGGUAAGGGCGCAUGAAGCUGAGGCUGAGGCAGAAUGGCAGCACUGAAACAACUGGGCCACCUCUGCGGCUGGAGGGGCUGUGUAGUUGCAGGCUGGGUGGCUCAGGCUUAGUGGAAGCCAUAUGCUAUCCAGAAGGCUGAGUCAAAACAAGCAGACAUGCCAGGCUGAGGAAAUAGAAAACACUGCAGGGUUGGCCUUCAGAGGCAAUUAAGUGGGAGACAAUUAAGAUCACAGACUUAAUUACCCAGGUGGUAUUUGCAUUCCUCCAGGCAGAAGCAUCAUUGUUGUGAUAGACCAGUAGGCUCAACUCAAGGAAGCUAUGGAGAAGAACUAAGAAGAUUUUAUGAAUGACACCAGUAUAAACAGUUUCAGCCUCUUCCUCCCUUACCGGGAUACAAACCUCCCUAUCACAUGCAAACUUUUCAGAUUUCCAAUUGAAAAUAGAGUGGGCCAGGAGGCCAAGAAACCCAUGCUAUACACAGAUGAGUCCAAAGGUUUAGAGAGCUCCCAUCCACUGACUCUUUCUAGCAUUUUCAAAAUCCAGGAUGGUCCACAAUGGCCUGUCUUCUAAGUUCAUGCUUCCGCUCCAUGGCUAGAAAAGACUGGAGGCAAGUCAAUGGAGUUCUUCACCCAGUCAUGUACAGUCUUUUCUAGUAGGGUCAGCUCUGAUGCUAGAGAAAGAUACAAAGAGACAAAAGGUAGUCCUUGAAAUAAGUAAGCCUGGGAAAGACCAGCAAGGGGUCGUUGAACGUUUAAACAGCUCUUCAUCACCUUUCCAUCAAAAGAGUUUACUUGUUCCUAAUACCCCAUUGAAAAUGUAGAAUGUGGCCUGUUGGGGCUUCCAGCUUCCUAUUAUCCUGUUACAGAGCUCAGCACAGCUAUCUGGAUGCUCUGGCUGAAUCCUCGUCAUGAGAGAUGUGAGUGCCCUUCCAUGAACUGGAACCAAGAAGGGAAGAACAAGCCUUCCCUUUCCUUUCUGCCAUGGUCUUUUCACACUCCAAAGCAGUUCUCUCCAGAGAGGACCCAGAGGACUGUAGGCAGCCCUAAGGCCAUCAGGGGCAACUCCUAGAAGAAUUAUCUUCUGGUCUCUUCCUUUAGGGAAGCAAAACUGAGGAUGAAGCCAGUGUUUUUUCUCCCUUAUAGUUUUUCUAAUAGAUGAAUGGUGUGGGUAAGAAGAGUGCUUUCAGGCAUUUAAGCUUUAGUGGGACUGAAAGAUUUGCAAGUGAAAGAUACAUUGCCAGGUGAGGGUGGGGGUUAGGGGGAAGGGUAGCUAAGGGAGGAAAAGAGGACCACUAAAGGACCCUAAAGGGUCAAAAAGAGAGCCAGUAAGGAAGACAGAGUAAAUGGAGCUUCCAGGACAAACUCUGCCUGUCCUGGAAUCUAGAGAAAGAAGUAGAAUCACAUGCAGAUCUAAAAAGGCAACCAGCCGGACGUCAUAAUGAGGUUCUCGGUAGGAGAGCAUGAGAGAAUUUGCUUUUAUUGGCCCCAGCAAACAUGAAACCCCCAAGGUCUUAUGCAUAACGUAACUUCAUUGGUUGUUGAAGGCUCAAGCAAACAACUUAUACUGUGGAAAUAACUGGCAUACAGAAAAACACACAAGAUUUACUCAGGGGACAAGAACACCUUUAUUUAUGAAUUCCACAUCUAUAUUUCAAAUUCUGCUCCUACAGGGGACAUAUGACUCUGCAAUAACUCCACAUGUGGAGAGACAGGUUUGAGCUGUACCAAAAAAAGUGAAUUUCACAGGACCAAACAAUAUUUGUAUAAAUGCUGCCACAUUUUUAAAAAAUUGGAGUAGUAAAAUGGGACAGAGAAAAAUGUUUGGAAUCAGAAGAUGUGGAUUCUCCUCCCAGUUCUGCCCUUAUUAGAGCUCUUUGCCAUUAUGAUCAAACUACUAGAAGGUUCCUAAGAUCUUUUCUGGCUCAAUGAUAGUACUUCUGUGUAUUCUUUUCUUCUUGAAGAUGAAAGCGUAUACAGAGAAGUGCAGACAUAUUUUUUUCACUAGGAAUUUUGUGAAUGUGAAGCUUAAGGAAGUUUAAGGAAGCAUUCUCCAUACUAAUUCAGUCAAUUAUUCACUUAAAUAAUAUUUUUUUGAGUCCCACGAUGUUUUAUGUGCUGUGCUGGGGCUGGGAAGACAAUGAUUAUUUCCAUAGGCAGAAAAGGACCAAACAAUAACAAUGUUUUUUCAAUACUUGGAUCUAUAAUAAAGUAAUCACACAUCGUUUCAUAAAUUUAAUGUUUAGAUUUGUUAAAAUUUAAUUCUUUAAAUUUUAAAGUUUUAUCCUUAACAACUGGGGGGUUCAUUUACUUGUAUUGUUGGAUUUUUUGUUGUUAAAUACCUGGGAGUUGUUAUUUAUGUAUUUAUUGAUUGAUUUAUUCUUUGAGACAGGGUCUUACUCUGUCUCCCAGCUGGAGUGCAGUAGCAUGAUCUUGGCUCACCGCAUUCUCUGCCUCCUGGGUCCAAGGGAUUCUCAUACCUCAGCUUCCCAAGUAGCUGGGAUUGCAGGUGUGCACCACCACACCUGGCUAAUUUUUUUUUUUUUUUUUUGAGAUGGAGUCUUGCUCUGUCUCCCAGGCUGGAGUGCAGUGGUGCCAUCUUGGCUCACUGCAGCCUCUGCCCUCAGGGUUCCAGUGAUUCUCCUGCCUCAGCCUCCUGAGUAGCUGGGAUUACAGGCACAUGCCACCACACCCGGCUAAUUUUUGUAUGUAAUUUAGAAAUGAGGUUUUGCCAUGUUGGACAGGCUGGUCUCGAACACCUGACCUCAGGUGAUCCACUUGCCUCGGCCUCCCAAAGUGCUGGGAUUACAGGUUUGUGCCACCACACCCAGCCAAAUGUUUUAAUUUUUAGUAGAGACAGGGUCUCACCAUGUUGGCCAGGUUGGUCUCGAACUCCUUACCUCAAGUGAUCCAUCGGCCUUGGCAAGGCUGGUCUCAAACUCUUGACCUCAAUUGAUCCACCCACCUUGGCCUCCCAAAGUGCUGGGAUUACAGGCAUGAGCCACCACACCUGGCCUGUUUUGUUUUUUUUGUUUUUUUUUUUUUUUUGGGUGGUGAGUAGGGGGACAAGGUCUUGCUUGGUCUCCCAGGCUGGAGUGCAGUGGUAUGAUCAUGACACACUGCAGCCUUGACCAUCUGGGCUCAAGCCAUCUUCCAGCCUCAGCCUCCCAAGUAGCUAGGAUCACAAACAUGCACCACCACGCCUGGCUAAUUUAAAAAAUUAUGUGUAGAGAUGAGGUCUCAUCGCAUUACCCAGGUUGGUCUUGAACUUCUGAGCUUAAAGGAUCUUUCCACCUUGACCUCCCAAAGUGCUGGGAUUGCAGGCAUGAGCCACCAUGCCUAGCCACCAGGGAGUUUUUUCAUUGAAUAAUCUUGAAAGAAGUCUUCGAAGAGAGUUCAGAAUCACUUGGUUAAAAAUAUGUAUUGAUAAUCCACUCCGUGCCAUGCUCUGUUGUAGGUGGUGAGGAUAGGGUAGGAAAUAAGUCAGGCAGAGCCCCUGCCCUCCAAGAACUCAUACUUUUGGGUCCAUUAAAAUAUGAUAAUUUUGGCGGGGCAUGGUGGCUCAUGCCUAUAAUCCCAGCACUUUGGGAGGCUGAGGCCGGCAGAUCACGAGGUCAGGAGUUUGAGACCAGCCUAACCAACAUGGUGAAACCCCGUCUCUACUAAAAAUACAAAAAUUAGCCAGGCGUGGUGGUGUGCACCUGUAAUCUCAGCUACUUGGGAGGCUGAGGAGGGAGCAUUGCUUGAACCUGGGAGGUGGAGGUUGUGGUGAGCUGAGAUCGUGCCAUUGCACUCCAGCCUGGGCAAUAAGAGGGAAACUCUGUCUCAAAAAAAAAAAAAAAAAAAAAAAAAGAUAAUUUUAAGGCCGGGUGUGGUGGCUCACGCCUGUAAUCCCAGCACUUUGGGAGGCUGAGGCGGGAGGAUCACAAGGUCAGGAGAUUGAGACCAUCCUGGCUAACACAGUGAAACCCCAUCUCUACUAAAAAUACAAAAAAUUAGCCAGGUGUGGUGGUGGGCGCCAGUAGUCCCACCUGCUGGGUAGGCUAAGGCAGGAGAAUGGCACGAACCCGGGAGGCGGAGCUUGCAGUAAGCCGAGAUUGCGCCACUGUACUCCAGCCUGGGCGACAGAGCGAGACUCUGUCUCAAAAAAAAAAAAAAAAAAAAAAAUUAUAAUUUUAAACUAAUAUGCAUUUAUGCAAUUAAAAUUCUGUAGCAUGCUAGUCAAUUGCCCAAGCUUCAUUAGAAGGGCCUGAAAUUUUAAAAGUGAUUUUUAAAAAUAAUUUAAGACUGUUUUUUUAUUUAAACAAUUUGUGACAAAUCGCCACUUUUUCUAGCACUGCUGUUAGAGUGUUCAUUUUAAGAAAAUCAAUGUGACCAUGCCAUUUUCUCUUCCCUUCCCCAGCAAUUCAUCCCUCCCUCCCACUAACCCCUGCCCUGCCAAAAAAAAAAAAAAUCCUUCUUCCAGGCAUGGUGGCUCAUGCCUGUAAUCCUGUCACUUUUGGAGGCUGAGGUGAAUGGAUUACUUGAGGCCAAGAGUUCAAGACCAGCCUGGGCAGCAUAGCAAGACUCCCAUUUCUACAAAAAAUACAAAAAUUAGCUGGGUGUAAUGGUGUGCCUGUAGCCAGCUACUGGAGAGGCUGAGGCAGGAGGAUCACUUGAGCCCUGGAAUCCCAGGAGGCAGCAGUGAGCUAUGAUUUUGCCACUGCACUCCAGCCUGGGCAACAGAGUGAGACCCCAUCUUAAAAAAUAAUCCCAGCCAGGCAUGGUGGCUCACACCUGUAAUCCCAGCACUUUGGGAGGCCGAGGCAGGCGGAUCAUGAGGUCAAGAGAUUGAGACCAUUCUGGCCAACGUGGUGAAACACCACCUCUACUAAAAAUACAAAAAAUUAGCUGGGUUUGGCGGCGCGUGCCUGUAGUCCCAGCUAUUCCGGAGGCUGAGUCAGGAGAAUCGCUUGAACCAGGAGGCGGAGGUUGCAGUGAGCUGAGAUCACAAGACUGCACUCCAGCCUGGAGACAGAAUGAAACUGUCUCAAAAAAACAAAAACAAAAACAAAAACAAAAAAAAAUCCUUCAGUGGCUACUCAUUACCUUAAAAGAAAAGAAACCCCAACUCCCUAACAAAUCAGACAAGGUGCUUGGUGACUGGGCACUGGUUCCCUCAGUCCUGCUCAUGCUGUCCACUUAGGCCACACUGAUUGCUGUUUCCCAGAGUAACAUGCUCUCCAGCUCUGGGCCUUUAAGCAUUCUGCUCCCUCAAUCCAGGAUGUUCUUCACCCCAUCCCUCCAGUGUCUUUGCUGAUUCCCUGGACUUGAUUCAUCCAUCCAUGACCCCCACCGUUAUUGUGCCUACAUCCAUCCUGGGACUUGCCUGCUGCAGUGCAAUGGCCCACUUAAGCAUCCAUCCCCUGACUACAGGGUGGUGCAUAGGCCCUAACAUGAAGAUGUCUUUAAUAAAAGAUAUUUUGAGGAAAUAAAUGAAGUAAUGAAUAUAUUUCUUCAGAUAACACUCCAAGCAGGGUGAACAGCAUGAGGGAAGGCAAGCAAGGCGAACUGGGGACUCUAAAAGGAUUUCAGAAUGGCUGGGAACAUUCAGAGAUGCGACAAAAAGGAGAAGCAAGGAUACUUUCAGCCAGUUAGACAACUUAGACUUCAUCCUGAGUUCAAUGGUGAUUUAUUAAAGGGCUUUAAAAAAGCGAGAAAUUAGAUUAGCAUUUUAGAAAAAACAUUCUGGGCCAGGUGUGGUGGUGUGCAGCUGUAGUCCCUGCUAAUCGGCAGGCUGAGGUGGGAGGAUUGCUUGAGUCUGGGAGGUCAAGGGUGCAGUGAGAUGUGACCAUACCACUGCACUCCAGCCUGGGUGACAGAGCAAGACCCUGUCUCGUGUUAGGGGGGAAAAAACAUUCUGAAGAAUAGAUUUGAAGAAAAUAAGACUGAGGACAAGGAGAUAUGUUAUAGCAACUAUUACAGAAAACCAAGGGAGAGCUGGGGCUGCCUUGAAGUAAUGGAGCAGCCUUGAGGAUGGCAGGAAGUGGAAAGAUUCAAGAAAUGUUAAGGGAUCAGAAUUGUCAGAACUUGGUGGUUCAUUUGCUGUGCAUCUUCCCUCCCAGUUUUUUUUUUUUUUUUAGAUUGAGUCUCGCUCUGUCUCCCAGGCUGGAGUGCAGUGGCACGAUCUCGGCUCACUGCAACCUCUGCCUGCCGGCUUCAAACGAUUCUCCUGCCUCAGCCCCACAAGUAGCAGGGACUACAGGUGCCCGCCACCAUGCCCGGCUAAU